GGGGCUGACUUGGUUUCGACAUUUAACGGUCAGUAUUAGAUGAUACAGGUCGAAGGGUAUCUUCGUAAAAAUCUACAACUUUAAACUAAAUGCUAAUAAUAUAAUUUCUUUUACAGUGAACGUAUUAACUAAUUGUUUUAAGAAGACUCAAAGUUCUUCACAAUUAUUACGAUUUGCAUAUUAAAAUAGAAAACAACCUUUAUUAAUUCCUUUUUUCACUAAAACUAGAGAUUUUUCUAGUUUAUAGUUUAGACUAACUUAUAAUUUUCAUAUGUUCAUUCAUGAACUAAGCCUGUGAACGAGUUUAUUAUUGAAAUUUAGAUGGACGUGGGUUCAAGUCCCACCAGCUCCA
rnacentral:tmRNA from 1 species